GCCAGCAGAGCAAGAUAACAUUCUGUACGCCAGCGUGGUCUUCACCAACAACCAGGCAAAACCUCUCUCAUCAUCAUCAGGUCAGCUCCACAGACACACGGAGGGAGAAGAAGUUAUUGAGUACGCUGCUGUCAAGUUUAACAGAGCCGGUAAAACCCCGAGAACCAGAGGUCAGAAAACUAGGGAAGAUCCAGCUGCACUGUACAGCACAGUCAAGAAAACAUGAACACAUCAGCAAUCUCAUGUUUUUUUGUUGUUGUUUUGGAAAACAAUGAGAAAAUACUCCCACAUACUGCUUGCUUAUUGCUGGAAUAUUAAUUAAAGGGGACCUAUUAUGUUUAUCCUUAUUUUCAGUGAUGUAUUUAAUGUCACAAUGUCAGCUAUUCAUUUUAAAAGAGGCUGAUGUGUCAAAUAAUGAGGUAAACAUAGAUGAAAUCCCUGUGAGCAAAACGCAUCAGCUUCAGACCACUCUGAACACUCGGUUUCCAACUUGUUUUUUUUCUACUUUUUGCUCGAGCUGAUAAUCCUGGGGACUUCAGCAAAACCUUGGUAGUAAAACCUGCUAACAUGUGGUAUCACCUCACCUGUGUCUUUUAGUGAAGGAGCUGUCGAUACAUGCAGGUGUUAUUAUUAACAUUGGGUUAGAAGAAAUAUACUGAAGAUUAUUAUAACUUGCCGCUUUGUACAUAUAUCAGUAUUAGAGUAUCACUAACAAGUGGUAAGCUUGUAUUUUUGAAGAUAUUUUUAAAAAACAACACACGAGUAUUCUAGAACUUUUAUUGAACUACUUGUAAUUCCCUACUGCUGCCACUAGUUGGCAGUAAUGAGUUAUAUUUCAUUGAUGACAGAAUGUGUAUGUUAUGUAUUUACAGUAUAUCUUCCAGGUUCAUUAUCACAACCAGUUAUAUUGUCAGUCAAGUAUCUUUUUAUUUCAACUGUCUUACUGUAACAUUACAAUUGUCUUUUUUUGCAUUCUUUAUAUAUAUUAUUACAGUCCAUUUUUGUUCUAUAUCACAAUUUCAGUACCAUGUAACUACAUUUGUCCUCAUUCAUUGUAGUUUUGUAUUAAAUACAUUUACUCAAUUGUAAUUGUA